rnacentral:rRNA from 1 species
CCUACGGGAGGCAGCAGUGAGGAAUAUUGGUCAAUGGGCGCGAGCCUGAACCAGCCAAGUCGCGUGAGGGAAGACGGUCCUAUGGAUUGUAAACCUCUUCUGUCGGGGAGCAAAAGACGCCACGCGUGGCGUUACGAGAGUACCCGACGAAAAAGAAUCGCCUAACCCCGUGCCAGCAGCCGCGGUAAUAUGGGGGAUGCGAGCGUUAUCCGGAUUUAUGGGGUUUAAAGGGUGCGCAGGCGUACGAUAAAGUCAGCGGGAAAAUUGAGAGGCUCAACCUCGUCGAGCCGUUGAGACUGGUUGUCUUGAGUGAGCGAGAAGUAUGCGGAAUGCGAGGUGUAGCGGUGAAAUGCAUAGAUAUCAUACAGAACACCGAUUGCGAAGGCAGCUUACCAAGCUACUUCUGACGUUGAGGCACGAAAGCGUGGGGAGCAAACAGGAUUAGAUACCCUUGUAGUC